rnacentral:rRNA from 1 species
GACGAACGCUGGCGGCGUGCUUAACACAUGCAAGUCGAACGGAAAGGCCCUGCUUUUGUGGGGUGCUCGAGUGGCGAACGGGUGAGUAACACGCGAGUAACCUGCCCUUGACUUUGUGAUAACUUCAGGAAACUGGGGCUAAUACCGGAUAGGAGCUCCUGCUGCAUGGUGGGGGUUGGAAAGUUUCGGCGGUUGGGGAUGGACUCGCGGCUUAUCAGCUUGUUGGUGGGGUAGUGGCUUACCAAGGCUUUGACGGGUAGCCGGCCUGAGAGGGUGACCGGCCACAUUGGGACUGAGAUACGGCCCAGACUCCUACGGGAGGCAGCAGUGGGGAAUAUUGCACAAUGGGCGGAAGCCUGAUGCAGCAACGCCGCGUGCGGGAUGACGGCCUUCGGGUUGUAAACCGCUUUCGCCUGUGACGAAGCGUGAGUGACGGUAAUGGGUAAAGAAGCACCGGCUAACUACGUG